rnacentral:lncRNA from 13 species
GUGAAGUCAAGAACCCAAAAACAUGCAGGAAGAGAGAGGCAGAGAUAAAUUAAAUGAAGGUGUUUCACUUACAAUUCUAUGUUCGUUAAUGGUCUCUUAUUGUUGUUUUUCUACUAAAAUGCUUAAUAUUAUUAAUGCCAAUACUUCUUUUGUAGAUUGGGAUUAUUUUGUAUCAUAGGUCAAGGAUAAACCAACUACAGGGCAGAGGAAGUGGAUGGAGCUAUUUUUGUGGCCUCAGCUGGGAUGCUUCUGAGGGGCAGUCAGCACAGACAGACAUGCCCUCAUUUCUUCUGUGUCCUCUGCCAGUGCUCCAGAACUGUGGAAUCUUUUCUCAUAGAGUUGUGGAACAACCCGGUGAGGACAAUGUAUUAGUCAGCGUUCUCUGGAUAAACAGAACCCAUGGGGUGAUGUGGAUGAGCUACAGGAGAAGCUGGCAGCUUUCCCCACAGUGCUGGACACACACAGGCUCAGGACUCAGAAGGGAAGAAAGGUCCCAUGGGGGUGAAAGUGCUGCAGGCCUGGGUGAAGUCCACAGAAACAAGGUCAGUGGGCGGGAUGUCUGUGAGCUGUUCUAGGGUACAACCCUCUACACUGAACCUCAAUGAGUAAAACCAACAUUGUUUGACAAGCAGAGCCCCAGGCAAAAAUGUUGCUAGUGGAUUACCAGAAGUAAUAGAGAGAAGGACCACUCUUUGUUUCAACCCCUUAAUACUAGGUCCACAGACUGUGGCUAUGGGGGAAACACUGUACCGCUGUUGCUGACUUAGAACGUGCUCUAUCUCCUGGACAGCAUUAUUCCAGGCUCACAAAAUGUUUCCACUAGCUAGUGUGGUAACCAAGUCUUUAGAAUUCCAUUCCACUAAUAUAUCAGGCCAGUGACAUCAAGGUGAUUGAUCGGAAACAUAAGACCAAUGAAAAUUUCAUUUGCCAAAAAAUUAGGU